rnacentral:rRNA from 1 species
GAUGAACGCUGGCGGCGUGCCUAAUACAUGCAAGUCGAGCGAACGGACGAGAAGCUUGCUUUUCUGAUGUUGGCGGCGGACGGGUGAGUAACAUGUGGAUAACCUACCUAUAAGACUGGGAUAACUUCGGGAAACCGGAGCUAAUACCGGAUAAUAUUUUGAAUCGCAUGGUUCAAAAGUGAAAGACGGUUUUGCUGUCACUUAUAGAUGGAUCCGCGCUGCAUUAGCUAGUUGGUAAGGUAACGGCUUACCAAGGCAACGAUGCAUAGCCGACCUGAGAGGGUGGUCGGCCACACUGGAACUGGGACACGGUCCUGACUCCUACGGAAGGCGGCGUUGGGGAUACUUCCGCAAGGGGCGAAAGCCUUACGGAGCAACCCCGCGUAAAUGAUGAGGAUCUUCGGAACGUAAAACUUUUUUAUUAGGGAUGAACAUAUGUGUAAGUAUCUGUGCACAUCUUGACGGUACCUAAUCAGAAAGCCACGGCUAACUACGUG